rnacentral:rRNA from 1 species
AUUGAACGCUGGCGGCAUGCCUUACACAUGCAAGUCGAACGGCAGCAUAGGAGCUUGCUCCUGAUGGCGAGUGGCGAACGGGUGAGUAAUAUAUCGGAACGUGCCCUAGAGUGGGGGAUAACUAGUCGAAAGAUUAGCUAAUACCGCAUACGAUCUACGGAUGAAAGUGGGGGAUCGCAAGACCUCAUGCUCCUGGAGCGGCCGAUAUCUGAUUAGCUAGUUGGUGGGGUAAAAGCCUACCAAGGCGACGAUCAGUAGCUGGUCUGAGAGGACGCCCAGCCACACUGGGACUGAGACACGGCCCAGACUCCUACGGGAGGCAGCAGUGGGGAAUUUUGGACAAUGGGGGCAACCCUGAUCCAGCAAUGCCGCGUGAGUGAAGAAGGCCUUCGGGUUGUAAGCUCUUUUGUCAGGGAAGAAACGGUUCUGGAUAAUACCCAGAGCUAAUGACGGUACCUGAAGAAUAAGCACCGGCUAACUACGUGCCAGCCGCCGCCGUAA